rnacentral:lncRNA from 10 species
GGUUUUUCUGUUGCUUCUUGGGAGAAUCUACGUCAUUUAAGGAGUGAAGGUAUAAAAGAAGGAAGUGUACCACUUACUUAGCAGAUCCCAAAGGGGAAACACAAGUCAUUUUAUUCAGAUGAGGCACUUUCAAUGUAUGUGUUUUGGGGUGUGUGUAUGUGUGUGCGCAUGGGGAACAGUGAGGUGGGUUCAAGGCUGGCUUGGAGGCCAAGGGUGUCCCCCUUAGCUCAAGAAGCCAAAGAAAUUGGUGGAGCGGGGGGGUGGGCCCAUGAGCAUGGGCAUCUGGUUCUUGUGGGUGAUCUUGAU